GCUCAGGACGAACGCUGGCGGCGUGCUUAACACAUGCAAGUCGACGAUGAAGCCCUUCGGGGUGGAUUAGUGGCGAACGGGUGAGUAACACGUGGGCAAUCUGCCCUGCACUCUGGGACAAGCCCUGGAAACGGGGUCUAAUACCGGAUAUCACUCUUGCAGGCAUCUGUGAGGGUCGAAAGCUCCGGCGGUGCAGGAUGAGCCCGCGGCCUAUCAGCUUGUUGGUGAGGUAAUGGCUCACCAAGGCGACGACGGGUAGCCGGCCUGAGAGGGCGACCGGCCACACUGGGACUGAGACACGGCCCAGACUCCUACGGGAGGCAGCAGUGGGGAAUAUUGCACAAUGGGCGAAAGCCUGAUGCAGCGACGCCGCGUGAGGGAUGACGGCCUUCGGGUUGUAAACCUCUUUCAGCAGGGAAGAAGCGAAAGUGACGGUACCUGCAGAAGAAGCGCCGGCUAACUACGUGCCAGCAGCCGCGGUAAUACGUAGGGCGCAAGCGUUGUCCGGAAUUAUUGGGCGUAAAGAGCUCGUAGGCGGCUUGUCACGUCGGGUGUGAAAGCCCGGGGCUUAACCCCGGGUCUGCAUUCGAUACGGGCUAGCUAGAGUGUGGUAGGGGAGAUCGGAAUUCCUGGUGUAGCGGUGAAAUGCGCAGAUAUCAGGAGGAACACCGGUGGCGAAGGCGGAUCUCUGGGCCAUUACUGACGC
rnacentral:rRNA from 1 species